rnacentral:tRNA from 1 species
GAGGGUAUAGCUCAGUGGUAGAGUGCAUGCCUAGCAUGCAUGAGGUCAUGGGUUCAAAGACCCCAGAACCACCA